CGCUUACCACUUUGUGAUUCAUGACUGGGGUGAAGUCGUAACAAGGUAACCGUAGGGGAACCUGCGGUUGGAUCACCUCCUUACCUAAAGAUAC
rnacentral:rRNA from 1 species